rnacentral:rRNA from 1 species
GUCGAGGGGUAUGCUUCUUCGGGAGCAGAGACCGGCGCACGGGUGCGUAACGCGUAUGCAAUCUACCUUUUACAGAGGGAUAGCCCAGAGAAAUUUGGAUUAAUACCUCAUAGUAUAAUAGCUCGGCAUCGAGCAAUUAUUAAAGUCACAACGGUAAAAGAUGAGCAUGCGUCCCAUUAGCUAGUUGGUAAGGUAACGGCUUACCAAGGCUACGAUGGGUAGGGGUCCUGAGAGGGAGAUCCCCCACACUGGUACUGAGACACGGACCAGACUCCUACGGGAGGCAGCAGUGAGGAAUAUUGGACAAUGGGCGCAAGCCUGAUCCAGCCAUGCCGCGUGCAGGAUGACGGUCCUAUGGAUUGUAAACUGCUUUUGUACAGGAAGAAACAGUUCUACGUGUAGAACCUUGACGGUACUGUAAGAAUAAGGAUCGGCUAACUCCGUGCCAGCAGCCGCGGUAAUACGGAGGAUCCAAGCGUUAUCCGGAAUCAUUGGGUUUAAAGGGUCCGUAGGCGGUUUAAUAAGUCAGUGGUGAAAGCCCAUCGCUCAACGGUGGAACGGCCAUUGAUACUGUUAAACUUGAAUUAUUAGGAAGUAACUAGAAUAUGUAGUGUAGCGGUGAAAUGCUUAGAGAUUACAUGGAAUACCAAUUGCGAAGGCAGGUUACUACUAAUUGAUUGACGCUGAUGGACGAAAGCGUGGGUAGCGAACAGGAUUAGAUACCCUGGUAGUCCACGCCGUAAACGAUGGAUACUAGCUGUUGGGAGCAAUUUCAGUGGCUAAGCGAAAGUGAUAAGUAUCCCACCUGGGGAGUACGUUCGCAAGAAUGAAACUCAAAGGAAUUGACGGGGGCCCGCACAAGCGGUGGAGCAUGUGGUUUAAUUCGAUGAUACGCGAGGAACCUUACCAAGGCUUAAAUGUAGAUUGACCGGUUUGGAAACAGAUCUUUCGCAAGACAAUUUACAAGGUGCUGCAUGGUUGUCGUCAGCUCGUGCCGUGAGGUGUCAGGUUAAGUCCUAUAACGAGCGCAACCCCUGUUGUUAG